CAAUAGCGUAUAUUUAAGUUGUUGCAGUUAAAAAGCUCGUAGUUGGAUUUCGGAUGGGAUUUGCCGGUCCGUCGUUACGAUGUGCACUGGCCAGUCCUAUCUUGUUGUCGGGGACUAGCUCCUUGGAUUCACUUCCUGGGACUAGGAGCUAACGAGGUUACUUUGAGUAAAUUAGAGUGUUCAAAGCAAGCCUACGCUCUGAAUACAUUAGCAUGGAAUAACACGAUAGGACUCUGGCUUAUCUUGUUGGUCUGUGAGACCAGAGUAAUGAUUAAGAGGGACAGUCGGGGACAUUCGUAUUUCAUUGUCAGAGGUGAAAUUCUUGGAUUUAUGAAAGACGAACUUCUGCGAAAGCAUUUGUCAAGGAUGUUUUCAUUAA
rnacentral:rRNA from 1 species